rnacentral:rRNA from 1 species
UACGUAGGUGGCGAGCGUAUCCGGAAUUAUUGGGCGUAAAGCGCGCGCAGGCGGUUUCUUAAGUCUGAUGUGAAAGCCCACGGCUCAACCGUGGAGGGUCAUUGGAAACUGGGAGACUUGAGUGCAGAAGAGAAGAGUGGAAUUCCACGUGUAGCGGUGAAAUGCGUAGAGAUGUGGAGGAACACCAGUGGCGAAGGCGACUCUUUGGUCUGUAACUGACGCUGAGGCGCGAAAGCGUGGGGAGCAAACAGG